GUCUACAGCAGUACCACCCUAAAUGUGCCCAAUCUCGUCUGGUCUCAGAAGCUAAGCAGGGUCGGGCCUGGUUAGUACUUGGAUGGGAGACAGAUCUUUAGAAGAGACUGCUCAGAGACAAGCAGUUUGGAGACA
rnacentral:rRNA from 1 species